rnacentral:rRNA from 1 species
AUUGAACGCUGGCGGCAGGCCUAACACAUGCAAGUCGAACGAGGGGCGGACGGGUGAGUAAUGUGUGGGAAACUGCAUGAUGGAGGGGGAUAACUACUGGAAACGGUAGCUAAUAACGCAUACCAUCAGAUGUGCCCAGAUGGGAGUAGGUAGUGGGUGGGGUAACGGCUCACCAAGGCGACGAUCUCUAGCUGGUCUGAGAGGAUGAGCCGCCACACUGGAUCUGAUACACGGUCCCGAUCCCUACUGUAGGCAGCCUUGGGGAAUAUUGCCCAAUGGUCGCAAUCCUUCUGCUGCCAUGCCGCGUGUAUGAAUAAGGCCUUCGGGUUGUAAAGUACUUUCAGCGGGGAGGCGUUACCCGCAGAAGAAGCACCGGCUAACUCCGUGCCAGCCGCCGCGGUAAUAC